rnacentral:rRNA from 1 species
AUUGAACGCUGGCGGCAGGCCUAACACAUGCAAGUCGAGCGGAUGAAGGGAGCUUGCUCCUGGAUUCAGCGGCGGACGGGUGAGUAAUGCCUAGGAAUCUGCCUGGUAGUGGGGGAUAACGUCCGGAAACGGGCGCUAAUACCGCAUACGUCCUGAGGGAGAAAGUGGGGGAUCUUCGGACCUCACGCUAUCAGAUGAGCCUAGGUCGGAUUAGCUAGUUGGUGGGGUAGAGGCCUACCAAGGCGACGAUCCGUAACUGGUCUGAGAGGAUGAUCAGUCACACUGGAACUGAGACACGGUCCAGACUCCUACGGGAGGCAGCAGUGGGGAAUAUUGGACAAUGGGCGAAAGCCUGAUCCAGCCAUGCCGCGUGUGUGAAGAAGGUCUUCGGAUUGUAAAGCACUUUAAGUUGGGAGGAAGGGCAGUAAGUUAAUACCUUGCUGUUUCGACGUUACCAACAGAAUAAGCACCGGCUAACUUCGUG